rnacentral:rRNA from 1 species
UUAAGCGACUAAGCGUACACGGUGGAUGCCCUGGCAGUCAGAGGCGAUGAAGGACGUGCUAAUCUGCGAUAAGCGUCGGUAAGGUGAUAUGAACCGUUAUAACCGGCGAUUUCCGAAUGGGGAAACCCAGUGUGUUUCGACACACUAUCAUUAACUGAAUCCAUAGGUUAAUGAGGCGAACCGGGGGAACUGAAACAUCUAAGUACCCCGAGGAAAAGAAAUCAACCGAGAUUCCCCCAGUAGCGGCGAGCGAACGGGGAGGAGCCCAGAGCCUGAAUCAGUGUGUGUGUUAGUGGAAGCGUCUGGAAAGGCGCGCGAUACAGGGUGACAGCCCCGUACACAAAAAUGCACAUGCUGUGAGCUCGAUGAGUAGGGCGGGACACGUGGUAUCCUGUCUGAAUAUGGGGGGACCAUCCUCCAAGGCUAAAUACUCCUGACUGACCGAUAGUGAACCAGUACCGUGAGGGAAAGGCGAAAAGAACCCCGGCGAGGGGAGUGAAAAAGAACCUGAAACCGUGUACGUACAAGCAGUGGGAGCCUCUUUUAUGGGGUGACUGCGUACCUUUUGUAUAAUGGGUCAGCGACUUAUAUUCUGUAGCAAGGUUAACCGAAUAGGGGAGCCGAAGGGAAACCGAGUCUUAACUGGGCGUUAAGUUGCAGGGUAUAGACCCGAAACCCGGUGAUCUAGCCAUGGGCAGGUUGAAGGUUGGGUAACACUAACUGGAGGACCGAACCGACUAAUGUUGAAAAAUUAGCGGAUGACUUGUGGCUGGGGGUGAAAGGCCAAUCAAACCGGGAGAUAGCUGGUUCUCCCCGAAAGCUAUUUAGGUAGCGCCUCGUGAAUUCAUCUCCGGGGGUAGAGCACUGUUUCGGCAAGGGGGUCAUCCCGACUUACCAACCCGAUGCAAACUGCGAAUACCGGAGAAUGUUAUCACGGGAGACACACGGCGGGUGCUAACGUCCGUCGUGAAGAGGGAAACAACCCAGACCGCCAGCUAAGGUCCCAAAGUCAUGGUUAAGUGGGAAACGAUGUGGGAAGGCCCAGACAGCCAGGAUGUUGGCUUAGAAGCAGCCAUCAUUUAAAGAAAGCGUAAUAGCUCACUGGUCGAGUCGGCCUGCGCGGAAGAUGUAACGGGGCUAAACCAUGCACCGAAGCUGCGGCAGCGACACUAUGUGUUGUUGGGUAGGGGAGCGUUCUGUAAGCCUGUGAAGGUGUACUGUGAGGUAUGCUGGAGGUAUCAGAAGUGCGAAUGCUGACAUAAGUAACGAUAAAGCGGGUGAAAAGCCCGCUCGCCGGAAGACCAAGGGUUCCUGUCCAACGUUAAUCGGGGCAGGGUGAGUCGACCCCUAAGGCGAGGCCGAAAGGCGUAGUCGAUGGGAAACAGGUUAAUAUUCCUGUACUUGGUGUUACUGCGAAGGGGGGACGGAGAAGGCUAUGUUGGCCGGGCGACGGUUGUCCCGGUUUAAGCGUGUAGGCUGGUUUUCCAGGCAAAUCCGGAAAAUCAAGGCUGAGGCGUGAUGACGAGGCACUACGGUGCUGAAGCAACAAAUGCCCUGCUUCCAGGAAAAGCCUCUAAGCAUCAGGUAACAUCAAAUCGUACCCCAAACCGACACAGGUGGUCAGGUAGAGAAUACCAAGGCGCUUGAGAGAACUCGGGUGAAGGAACUAGGCAAAAUGGUGCCGUAACUUCGGGAGAAGGCACGCUGAUAUGUAGGUGAAGCGACUUGCUCGUGGAGCUGAAAUCAGUCGAAGAUACCAGCUGGCUGCAACUGUUUAUUAAAAACACAGCACUGUGCAAACACGAAAGUGGACGUAUACGGUGUGACGCCUGCCCGGUGCCGGAAGGUUAAUUGAUGGGGUCAGCGCAAGCGAAGCUCUUGAUCGAAGCCCCGGUAAACGGCGGCCGUAACUAUAACGGUCCUAAGGUAGCGAAAUUCCUUGUCGGGUAAGUUCCGACCUGCACGAAUGGCGUAAUGAUGGCCAGGCUGUCUCCACCCGAGACUCAGUGAAAUUGAACUCGCUGUGAAGAUGCAGUGUACCCGCGGCAAGACGGAAAGACCCCGUGAACCUUUACUAUAGCUUGACACUGAACAUUGAGCCUUGAUGUGUAGGAUAGGUGGGAGGCUUUGAAGUGUGGACGCCAGUCUGCAUGGAGCCGACCUUGAAAUACCACCCUUUAAUGUUUGAUGUUCUAACGUUGACCCGUGAUCCGGGUUGCGGACAGUGUCUGGUGGGUAGUUUGACUGGGGCGGUCUCCUCCUAAAGAGUAACGGAGGAGCACGAAGGUUGGCUAAUCCUGGUCGGACAUCAGGAGGUUAGUGCAAUGGCAUAAGCCAGCUUGACUGCGAGCGUGACGGCGCGAGCAGGUGCGAAAGCAGGUCAUAGUGAUCCGGUGGUUCUGAAUGGAAGGGCCAUCGCUCAACGGAUAAAAGGUACUCCGGGGAUAACAGGCUGAUACCGCCCAAGAGUUCAUAUCGACGGCGGUGUUUGGCACCUCGAUGUCGGCUCAUCACAUCCUGGGGCUGAAGUAGGUCCCAAGGGUAUGGCUGUUCGCCAUUUAAAGUGGUACGCGAGCUGGGUUUAGAACGUCGUGAGACAGUUCGGUCCCUAUCUGCCGUGGGCGCUGGAGAACUGAGGGGGGCUGCUCCUAGUACGAGAGGACCGGAGUGGACGCAUCACUGGUGUUCGGGUUGUCAUGCCAAUGGCACUGCCCGGUAGCUAAAUGCGGAAGAGAUAAGUGCUGAAAGCAUCUAAGCACGAAACUUGCCCCGAGAUGAGUUCUCCCUGACUCCUUGAGAGUCCUGAAGGAACGUUGAAGACGACGACGUUGAUAGGCCGGGUGUGUAAGCGCAGCGAUGCGUUGAGCUAACCGGUACUAAUGAACCGUGAGGCUUAACCUU